GGUUGUGGCUCAGUGGUAAAGUACUUGCCUAGCACACAUGAGGCCCUGGGUUUGAUUCCUGGCACCA
rnacentral:tRNA from 1 species